rnacentral:rRNA from 1 species
UGGGGAAUAUUGCACAAUGGGGGAAACCCUGAUGCAGCGACGCCGCGUGAACGAAGAAGGUAUUCGUAUCGUAAAGUUCUGUCCUAUGGGAAGAUAAUGACAGUACCAUAGAAGAAAGCUCCGGCUAAAUACGUGCCAGCAGCCGCGGUAAUACGUAUGGAGCGAGCGUUGUCCGGAAUUAUUGGGCGUAAAGGGUACGCAGGCGGUUUGUUAAGUCAGAUGUGAAAUCCCCGGGCUCAACCUGGGAACUGCAUCUGAUACUGGCAAGCUUGAGUCUCGUAGAGGGGGGUAGAAUUCCAGGUGUAGCGGUGAAAUGCGUAGAGAUCUGGAGGAAUACCGGUGGCGAAGGCGGCCCCCUGGACGAAGACUGACGCUCAGGUGCGAAAGCGUGGGGAGCAAACAGG